rnacentral:rRNA from 1 species
UACGGAGGGUGCAAGCGUUAUCCGGAUUCACUGGGUUUAAAGGGUGCGUAGGUGGGUCCGUAAGUCAGUGGUGAAAUCUCCAAGCUUAACUUGGAAACUGCCGUUGAUACUAUAGAUCUUGAAUGCUGUGGAGGUGAGCGGAAUAUGUCAUGUAGCGGUGAAAUGCUUAGAUAUGACAUAGAACACCAAUUGCGAAGGCAGCUCACUACCCAGAUAUUGACACUGAGGCACGAAAGCGUGGGGAUCAAACAGG